rnacentral:lncRNA from 1 species
CACAAAAUUUGGUUACAAUUCAAUAAUUUGAAAAGUGCUGUUGCAUCCCUAACCUACUAAACUGCUUGCAAAUAUUAAAGGAAAGCUAUAAGGGCAGUUAAAAAAUUUAACAAGGAUUUGGUUUAUAAAUUGUUAAUUUCUAGAGAUGAUAACACAAUACAAACAUGGAAUUCACUAUAUUCAUAUUUUUAAUGAUAUGUUUUAUAAGUCUAAAUUCCUUUUAAUAUUCCUCUGAUAUACAAAUCUUCUGAAAACUUUAAUAUUAUCAAGGUUUAUAAACGACUUAAUAUUAGAAUUGAGACUCUUCAGGUAUUUUAAUACUUACAGUAGCAAUUAAUACACAGUACAUUGUAAUUGUUUUUGUUCUUGAAAAUUGCCCUUUCCACGCGCUCUUUCAACCAUUAGAAACAUAAUAGCGUUAAACGGCUAAAUUAUGCUGGAGGAACCACAAAUGUCUCUACAUUUAAAGCUUUUUCAAACUGACACAGAGGUGAAUGGACAAGAUUACAAUUAAUUGUGACAUUUUUCUUCGACAACAGCACUCUUCGCGGCUCCUGCCGGCUCUAUACUGACCCUGUUUCACACGCAAUAUUUUCCUUAUUCAGUCGCUAACACACCUUUUGUAUCCCACUAUGAAGAACAUCAACAUUUCCACCAAAACCCCGAAAAUAUAAUCAUUUUAGACGAAACAAUAAAAUAUUUCAAACAAUUUGUUUUGCUUUUG